rnacentral:rRNA from 2 species
UUGACCUCGGAUCAGGUAGGACUACCCGCUGAACUUAAGCAUAUCAAUAAGCGGAGGAAAAGAAACCAACAGGGAUUGCCCCAGUAACGGCGAGUGAAGCGGCAACAGCUCAGAUUUGGAAUCUGGCCCCCAGGGCCCGAGUUGUAAUCUGGAGAGGAUGCUUCUGGCGCGGCGCCUUCCGAGUUCCCUGGAACGGGACGCCGGAGAGGGUGAGAGCCCCGUACGGUUGGACGCCUAGCCUUUGUGAAGCUCCUUCGACGAGUCGAGUAGUUUGGGAAUGCUGCUCAAAAUGGGAGGUAAAUUUCUUCUAAAGCUAAAUACCGGCCAGAGACCGAUAGCGCACAAGUAGAGUGAUCGAAAGAUGAAAAGCACUUUGAAAAGAGGGUCAAACAGUACGUGAAAUUGUUGAAAGGGAAGCGCCCGUGGCCAGACUUGUGCCCCGCGGACCACCCGGCGCCCUCAGCGCCGGUGCACUCCGCGGGGCGCAGGCCAGCAUCGGUUUUCCUAGGGGGAUAAAGGCGGCGGGAACGUGGCUCCCUCGGGAGUGUUAUAGCCCGCCGCGCCAUGCCCCUGGGGGGACCGAGGACCGCGCUUCGGCAAGGAUGCUGGCGUAAUGG